UCCCCGGUAGCUCAGUCGGUAGAGCGUGUGACUGUUAAUCACUAGGUCGCGGUCAGCCCGUCCCGGGAGCCA
rnacentral:tRNA from 1 species